GCUAAUGGGCAGCUACCGGUUUACUAAAAUAUUUAUUUUAGUUUUAAACUGUGGAAACUCCACCCAUCAUACAGACCACGGUACUGUGAGGUACCUGCUGAGAAGUUGGACUCUGGAGCAGAAACGAAACGUCUUUUAUAUGAAUGACUAUGAUGUUUUCAUAAUAAACUGAUUGACAUAUAAAAGGAUCGGUGAAACGGCCAUUCCGUGGGAUGCAAGGCAAAUACUACUUAUGAUAAUGUCUGUUGGAGGUAGAGGUAGUCCGCUUAGAUGAAUGCUGCUUAAAACAGGAGGUGGGUUAUU
rnacentral:RNase_P_RNA from 1 species